rnacentral:rRNA from 8 species
AAAUUGAAGAGUUUGAUCAUGGCUCAGAUUGAACGCUGGCGGCAGGCCUAACACAUGCAAGUCGAACGGUAGCACAGAGGAGCUUGCUCCUUGGGUGACGAGUGGCGGACGGGUGAGUAAUGUCUGGGAAACUGCCCGAUGGAGGGGGAUAACUACUGGAAACGGUAGCUAAUACCGCAUAACGUCGCAAGACCAAAGAGGGGGACCUUCGGGCCUCUUGCCAUCGGAUGUGCCCAGAUGGGAUUAGCUAGUAGGUGGGGUAACGGCUCACCUAGGCGACGAUCCCUAGCUGGUCUGAGAGGAUGACCAGCCACACUGGAACUGAGACACGGUCCAGACUCCUACGGGAGGCAGCAGUGGGGA